GACCUAGCGGCGAACGGGUGAGUAACACGUGAGAAACCUGCCCCGAACUUCGGGAUAACACGGGGAAACCCGUGCUAAUACCGAAUACCCUCUUCUGGUCGCAUGGCCGGAUGCGGAAAGAUUCAUCGGUUCGGGAGGGUCUCGCGGCCUAUCAGCUAGUUGGCGGGGUAACGGCCCACCAAGGCAUCGACGGGUAGCUGGUCUGAGAGGACGAUCAGCCACACUGGGACUGAGACACGGCCCAGACUCCUACGGGAGGCAGCAGUGGGGAAUCUUGCGCAAUGGGCGAAAGCCUGACGCAGCAACGCCGCGUGCGGGAUGAAGGCCUUCGGGUUGUAAACCGCUUUCAGCAGGGAAGAAAUUGACGGUACCUGCAGAAGAAGCCCCGGCCAACUACGUGCCAGCAGCCGCGGUAACACGUAGGGGGCGAGCGUUGUCCGGAUUUAUUGGGCGUAAAGAGCUCGUAGGCGGUUCGGUAAGUCGGGUGUGAAACCUCCAGGCUCAACCUGGAGACGCCACCUGAUACUGCUGUGACUGGAGUCCGGUAGGGGAGUGUGGAACUCCUGGUGUAGCGGUGAAAUGCGCAGAUAUCAGGAAGAACACCAGCGGCGAAGGCGGCACUCUGGGCCGGUACUGACGCUGAGGAGCGAAAGCGUGGGCAGCAAACAGGAUUAGAUACCCUGGUAGUCCACGCCGUAAACGUUGGGCACUAGGUGUGGGUCUCAACCAACGAGAUCCGUGCCGCAGCUAACGCAGUAAGUG
rnacentral:rRNA from 1 species